rnacentral:rRNA from 1 species
AUGAAAGCUUGGUUUGGUCUUGACAUCAACCCCUCCCAAUGGGCGACUCACCACUCCAUCCGUAGUUGGUUGAUCUAUAUGGCUACACGGAGCAAAGCAAUGGCGUCCCUCACAAUGCUCGCCAAUUGGACUAUUUGGAAUGAGAGGAACUCAAGGAUCUUCCGGAAGAAAUCUACGCCACCUCAAAUCAUCUUGAACAAUUUGAAGAAUGAGGCAAAGCUUUGGGUCCUUGCGCGGCCGAAGCGCUUGAAUAACUUGAUGCCGGGAGCAACGGCCCUGUAUCUUUUUUGGGGGUUUUGUUUUUUUGCUACCCCUCGUCAUAACCUUCUCUUUAUUAAUGAAUGUAUUUUGCCUCGGUGUUAA